UACGAAGGGUGCAAGCGUUGCUCGGAAUUAUUGGGCGUAAAGGGCAGGUAGGUGGUCUUAUUUGUCUUGUGUGAAAUCCUUGGGCUUAACCCAAGAAGUGCGCAAGAAACGGUAAGACUAGAGUCCCAGAGAGGCUUGUGGAAUUCCCGGUGUGAGCGGUGAAAUGCGUAGAGAUCGGGAGGAACACCAGAGGCGAAGGCGGCAAGCUGGAUGGGCACUGACACUCGAACUGCGAAAGCGUGGGGAGCAAACAGG
rnacentral:rRNA from 1 species